UAAGUGUAGAAACACUCCAAGUGGUUUAAUAACUCAAUUUAGUUAGGCUUCAAACUUCAACAAGUCAUUUUGUUAUUGACAUAAUCUCCAAGCAUCCCCUUCUGACGUGAACGCUCAAUGCUUAAUGAGGCGAGGUCCAGUUACUUGGUGAAUGAUUUCAAGAGAAUGCAACAAAAUUAUUGAUGAUUUUUUAUUAUCAUUAUUUUAUUUUAUUUUAUUUUUAUAUUUAUUUUUUUUAUCAAAAGCUAUCCAUUCAUUAGGUUCAUCAACUCAAACCAACCAUUUACAAAAUGCCAAAAAGGUCGGGGUACAUGCAACUUUUUAACGGGGAAUUGAAGCUCAACUUUCUAAUUGGUGUCAUAGGCCAUACUUUGAAUGUAUUUAACAUUUCUGAAAUGAAUUCCGGGAGCGACUCAUAUAAUGCACAUCUAGAAUCAGCAGCAAGUAGCAAUUCAGUGACAUUCAUCAGACGAACAGAGGACCACCGAUGAGGCGAAGCAGAGUUUGGAAAUGGUUGUUCUGUGAUUGGUUGAUUCGGCACACUUAUGAAUCGAUGCCAUUUCAGACCACGAUGAAGGCAAAUGUGUAGAACCCACGACGUGUUUGAAUAAAUGACCAAAUGGGACGAAUGAAGGAGCACUGGAAGAAAAGAUGGUCGGGUGGUUCCGGCAUAUCAGAGCAGAGUUUACACAGGUUAGGUGAUCUUCUGAGUCACUGCUUUCCUAUCAAGAUAUGCAUAAUUGCCUAUAUAGAUAACAUAGUCUUAAGAACUUGACAUCAAAGUCCUAAAUUUUGGCAUAAUUCUAUAAUUUUAUGAUUCAGUUGUUUUCUUGGGGCUAUCUUAUUACAUCAACGGGUUAUUUCUAUUAGUUCCUUAGGUUUUAACACUAUAUUUAUAUAUUUUUUUUUCUCCUACCAGUAUUUAUAUACGUAUGGCACUAAGUAAAUAGCAAUACUAAUGAUAUUGAGAGUUCGUAAUCUACAUGCUACUGGCCUAAUUACUUAUCAAAAGCGAAUAUGCAGCUGCUCUAACAUUAGGUUAUUCUACAUGCUAUGUGUUUCAUCAAGUAGCUUUUUUUCAACUAAUAACAUAUUGUGGUGUAAGGUGAUAACGUACUAUGUGCAUUUCUAUAUACACUACAAGAAAAACAGUUUUUUACCACGGUGAAAAAUACUUUCUACCACGGUUUUAAACCACAAUGAAAACGGUCGUGGUAAUAAGUAGAACCAUGGUAGAAAGAAAACUUUCGACCACGGUUUAGAACCGUGGUAGAAAGUGUUAUAUAAUUUUUUUUUUUAAA